rnacentral:rRNA from 1 species
UACGUAGGGGGCAAGCGUUGUCCGGAAUGAUUGGGCGUAAAGGGCGCGUAGGCGGUAAAGUAAGUUGAGUGUAUAACCCUAGGGCUCAACCUUAGGUGGCAUUCAAAACUGCUUGACUAGAGUGCAGAAGAGGAAAGUGGAAUUCCACGUGUAGCGGUGAAAUGCGUAGAGAUGUGGAGGAACACCAGUGGCGAAGGCGACUUUCUGGGCUGUAACUGACGCUGAGGCGCGAAAGCGUGGGGAGCAAACAGG